rnacentral:rRNA from 1 species
UUCGUAGGCGGCGCAGAAAGUAGGGUGUGAAAGCCCUCAGCUCAACCGAGGAAUUGCGCUCUAAACUACUGUGCUUGAGGAAGCUAGAGGUGAGCAGAACUGAUGGUGGAGCGGUGAAAUGCGUUGAUAUCAUCAGGAAUACCGGAGGCGAAGGCGGCUCACUGGGGCUUUUCUGACGCUGAGGAACGAAAGCCAGGGUAGCGAACG